rnacentral:rRNA from 1 species
CUGGGCUUGACAUGCGCCAGACAUCCCCAGAGAUGGGGCUUCCCUUGUGGUUGGUGUACAGGUGGUGCAUGGCUGUCGUCAGCUCGUGUCGUGAGAUGUUGGGUUAAGUCCCGCAACGAGCGCAACCCUCGUUCCAUGUUGCCAGCGGGUUAUGCCGGGGACUCAUGGAAGACUGCCGGGGUCAACUCGGAGGAAGGUGGGGAUGACGUCAAGUCAUCAUGCCCCUUAUGUCCAGGGCUUCACGCAUGCUACAAUGGCCGGUACAAACCGCUGCGAAACCGUGAGGUUGAGCGAAUCGGAAAAAGCCGGUCUCAGUUCGGAUCGGGGUCUGCAACUCGACCCCGUGAAGUCGGAGUCGCUAGUAAUCGCAGAUCAGCAACGCUGCGGUGAAUA